AUGAACGCUGGCGGCGUGCCUAAUACAUGCAAGUCGAUCGAACAGACGAGGAGCUUGCUCCUCUGACGUUAGCGGCGGACGGGUGAGUAACACGUGGAUAACCUACCUAUAAGACUGGGAUAACUUCGGGAAACCGGAGCUAAUACCGGAUAACAUGUUGAACCGCAUGGUUUAACAGUGAAAGACGGUCUUGCUGUCACUUAUAGAUGGAUCCGCGCCGCAUUAGCUAGUUGGUAAGGUAACGGCUUACCAAGGCAACGAUGCGUAGCCGACCUGAGAGGGUGAUCGGCCACACUGGAACUGAGACACGGACCAGACUCCUACGGGAGGCAGCAGUAGGGAACCUUCCGCAAUGGGCGAAAGCCUGACGGAGCAACGCCGCGUGAGUGAAGAAGGUCUUCGGAUCGUAAAACUCUGUUAUUAGGGAAGAACAAAUGUGUAAGUAACUAUGCACGUCUUGACGGUACCUAAUCAGAAAGCCACGGCUAACUACGUG
rnacentral:rRNA from 1 species